CAUAUUGAAGUUUGUUUAUGAAUUUUUCUUUUACACUGAAAGGGUCUCUUAUUGAGUAAUAUGAAAG
rnacentral:tRNA from 1 species